rnacentral:rRNA from 1 species
UACGUAGGGUGCGAGCGUUGUCCGGAAUUACUGGGCGUAAAGAGCUCGUAGGUGGUUUGUCGCGUUGUUCGUGAAAUCUCACGGCUUAACUGUGAGCGUGCGGGCGAUACGGGCAGGCUAGAGUUCGGCAGGGGAGACUGGAAUUCCUGGUGUAGCGGUGAAAUGCGCAGAUAUCAGGAGGAACACCGGUGGCGAAGGCGGGUCUCUGGGCCGAUACUGACACUGAGGAGCGAAAGCGUGGGGAGCGAACAGG